GAUCACAGCUACUACCCAUUAUGUAAUUUCUUCCUAGUCUGAGUCCUGGGGCUUUGUUUGUUUAGUGUGGGUGCUGCAGCUUCUGAGGACUGAGUGCAACGGAAAAGCAUUUUCUAAGCCAUUGUCAUCCCAUUUGACCCCCUAAAGGACACCUCCUCCUCAACAGUUCUACGAAUGCAGAGAGUCUGCUCUACAGAAAUGAAGACAAGCACGCGGUCACCCUCCGUCUCCUCGUCUGCCCAGAGUGAGAGGGAGAGAGGGUUUUCAUGACCCCUAGUGGUGAAUAGGGGGAAGGACCGCUUUAAAGUUGAAGGUGAGUGUUGCUCAUUGUCUCA
rnacentral:lncRNA from 1 species